AUGUAUGAAUAUGGCAGAGGCCCAGAUGAUUCUCUGCGUCAUAGCUCUGUACAAUUAACUGAAGAAGACAUUGUUGCGAUGUCAACCAUCCUCGUGAAGGGCAAAUACGAGGACUGCAGUAAAGUUGGAUUAAACCCCUUCUGCAAACUUAACCCGGCACCAGAAGCCAAAUCUGUUUUCUGGAAAGCCAAGUAUGAUCAUGAAGCUGCCAAGAAGGCUAGAGCCGCUGCCAUGGCCGCCAGGAAAACAACCCGGAAGCCAAAGAAGAAGAAGACUGCAUCUGACUUAUUCCACCUGGAUGAUGCUUCUGAGUCGGAGGACGACACGGGGGCCAGCCAGGCCGUGGAAGAAGAGGUAACUAUUUCCUCCGACUCAGCCCCUUUGCCAAGACAGAAACUUCGACUGGUAACCCAGAGUAAGGUUUUCACACCCUUUGGCUUAUUUAGACCCUCAUUUUCUUUUGAAAAAACAACAACAUGA
rnacentral:rRNA from 1 species